AUCUCCUUCCUGUGAGACUACAAAUUCUUUCUCUCCACCCAGAUCUCUCUCGCUGCACCAAACUCUUAUUACCCAUCAAAUUGCACAUUAAUUUGAUAGUCAAAUAGCCACCAACGAGACUUCAAGGUGAAAGAUAAGAAUUUGGGUUCAUCUUCAACAUGAAAAGUCAUUAACAACACUCUAACUUUCAUUCUUUAUAUCGGACCAUGUGUUUAAUUAUAAUUACGGUUCUUUUAUCUAUAUAAAAUUGAAUUCCUUGCUUUAUUAACAUAGUUUGUUUGACCGUAAAAAAAAACAUAAUUUGUUUGAAAAAAAAAAUGGAAGUCCAAAAUUCUCCAAGUAACGCUUUCCAUUGGAUUUGGAUUGGAAAUAGAAAAAAAAAGAACACAACUGAGGAAAAGAUUUGGUAUUGAUGGUUCAUGGUUGUAUGUUGAAAAGGGUGAGAGAAGGUUUAACAUUCUAUUUCGUAAAGUUGUUUUUCCUUGUUGUAAUUAUUCUCUGGUUAGAGUUGCAUCGCUGGUUGAUGUUUUAGAGGGUGGGAGAUGGUGGUUGAGAACCACCAUGUGGGUUUAGUGUUUGGGGAGAAGACGAUGAACAAGAAGAUUGGAGUUAGAAUGAUUAAUAAUCAUGUGUGACAACGAAAACUGUUAUCAUAUAACCUAAUUUAAUCUAACGAUAAAUUUUAAUGGUACACCGGUGAGGGACUUAGUUGCUCCCUCACCUUAGAA
rnacentral:lncRNA from 1 species